rnacentral:lncRNA from 10 species
UGAACUAAAGCUGACAAAACUGUUGCAUCAGAGAAUCACCAAAAAGCAUGGCUGAAACUGUUACACACAUAAACCACAAUCUUAAUCAUCUCAUCCUGUUUCUGCAACCAAGGAAGUCAUCAUUCAUUGUGACAUCAUGUUCGGGGACCAGGCAAAUAGAGGUGAGGUCACAACAUAGGAAAGUUGCUUGGUGUAUAAUUAGUGUGGGGAGCACAGGGGGGUGGAUUACAAUGCACAGACAAAUUCUAAUCCAUAGCCUGUAAUUUGAGGGUUGGGUCAAUCAUAAUUUGGGUGCAAGCACACCUACUUCCUUUUUUAAUAAGGGAGAAUUUAGCUCUUGUUACCCACAAGAGUUCUCAAAGUAGAAAAUAAUAAACCAUGUUCUUGAAGCCAGUACUGAAUUAUCAAAGCUGAAGGAAGGGAAGCUAAAGAAAGAUUAGGCAACUUGGGGUACAAAUGCGUUCAAAAUCCUCUCCGUCAGUAUGCCAAGUCUCUGGAUACCAGUGACUUAUUUGCCCUGGGGUGAGAGAAAACUCCAUUUUCCAUCAAGCUGGAGAAGCAGCCUUUGUUUUUCAGCCAUGGAUAAGGCCACUUAUUAGGAGGACAACAAGAAGUGAAAUCUCAGGAGGAUGCUUACCAGGAAUCAGGAAACUGGAAAAACAAUGGCCUGCUGGGACAGAUCUCCAAGCCCUAGAGGACCACAGGUGAAUGUCACCUGUGGACCAGUAAGACAACAUGACACGUAAGGCAGGAGAAUCACUUGAACCUGGAAGGCGGAGAUUGCAGUGAACUGAGAUCACACCAAUGCACUCUAGCCUGGGCAACAGAGUGAGACUCUGUCUCAAAAAAGAAAAAAAACAAAGACAAUACGACAUACCUAGAUUCUAAUUCAACACAGAAAAUGCAAAACAAAUAAAUAAAUAAAUAAAAUAAACAUAAAACCAAAUUAGGUUUGUUUACUGUAGAAUCAUUUUACUAUUGAUGGGGCCGGGCGAGGGGAAGGAAUCUAGACGUUGUCACCUCCAGUUCGUCAGUGCUAGGCUUCUAAGCACUUACAAUGUCAAAAACAACAUGCUGACAAGAUAAUGUUAAAGUUAAUAUAUUUUAAUCUAUCACUUGCCUGAUACUAUUCUAAUGAGGAGCUAAACACAACAAAAUCAGAAAAACCACCUCCUUAAAAGUUCAAACAGGUUGGGCAUGACAGCUCACUCCUAUAAUCUCAACACUUUGUGAGGCCAAGGUGAGAGGACUGCUUGACGUGCCUGGGCAGCAUAGUGAGACCCUAUUUCUACAAAAACAUUUAAAAAAUUAGCCCAGCAUGGUGGAAUGUUCCUGUGGUCCCACUACUUGGGAGGCUUAGGUGGGAGGAUCACUUGAGCCCAGAGUUUGAGGCUGCAGGGAGCUAGGAUCAAGCCUUGGAGACCCUGUAUCCAAAAACAAACAAACAACCCCACUUCAAACAUCAAACAUUUUCUGCAAGGCAGUUUUCUAUUCUAUGUGUGAAACCUUUGUUACGACUCACUGAAAAUAUGCAAAACUCCAAGCUGAGCUUAGUUUUGCCUGUGCACAGAGACCUUUUUACUCUCAUUCUUCGAAAACCUCAUUUUGGAUCUCGCUGCCAACACCAGAGAGAGGAAAGCUGGCCAACAAUUCCAAAUAUAACACGCGGAGGCAAAUGCUACAGAAAUCUGUCUGACGGGAAGGGACCAUGCUGAGGUCUGCCGAGGUAGAUGCACUUCUCUAUCAGACCAUUUUGGUCCCUCAGUCUGUUUGGAGCAAAAUGCCAUAAGAAGGUAAUCACAGGAAACCAGUCAGUUUUAUCAUCCUGAUUACUGAUGCCCCAUGGUAUUCACUCUGUCAAUGACAACAAUCCUACCAAUCUCAAACAGAAAGAUGGGUCAGUGAAAAGUAAAGCUGUACUGGUUAUUCUAAUUUUUAACAGAUUUUUUGGGAUCAGUCCAGAGACCUUUCAGAAAGCUCAACUCAUGGCAUGAUAAUUAUGAUGAAGUCAGAUUCACCAAGGGACACUUAAAAACAUAUCUCCCUCCAUGGCCGGGUGUGGUGGCUCACACCUGUAAUCCCAGCUCUUUGGGAGGCCGAGGCGGGUGGAUCAUGAGGUCAGGAGUUCGAGACCAGCCUGACCAACACGGUGAAACCCUGUCUCUACUAAAAAUACAAGAAAAUUAGCCAGGCCUGGUGGCGUGCGCCUGUAAUCCCAGCUACUCAGAAGGCUGAGAAAGGAGAAUUGCUUGAGCCCGGGAGGCGUUGCAGUGAGCUGAGAUUGCGCUACUGCACUCCAGCCUCGGUGACAGAGCAAGACUCCGUCUCAGAAAAACAAAAACAAAAACACCACACACACAUCUCUUUCCAAUUCUCUAGGGACAGGUUUAGUAACCCCUACUAUCACUCUGAAUAAUUGAUAAACCAGUUAAACUUGGAUAAAAUGAUUACACUAUCACUUAAUCAAAAAGACAUCAGUUCUUCAACCUUAAUUCUUUGGUGAGGUCACGGUACUGAGCACAAGACAAUUCAUUCCAGAGAAUCAUUACAGAAAACCCAGAAAUAGGUUCCCAGUCUAACUGGGAAGAGAUGACGUGCCUCAUACAAAGCAUUGUCUCCUGAGAAAAGACAACAAUUAAAACAGCUUAUUUGACUAGUCAUUUCCUUACUAUUUAUCUUAGAAAGAUCUCCUGUGGUUUAUAGCUGUGUUACCAAGCCCGGGAGGUAAAGUUUGCCUAGAACCACUUUUGGAACACUUGUACUGGAUUCCGUUCACAGUGAGGCAGACUGGCAAGGAAUACUAGAGACUGAAAAAAGACUUAUCCCACAGAGCUUUGGAUAGAGAACCACAGCAGCACUGCAAUUAAGACCUACAGCAUUUGCAAAAUUUAAAUUUCACUUUUUCUUUAAAUUUUGUAGAGAUGGAGUCUUGCUAUGUUGCCUAGACUGGUCUUGAACUCCUGGCCUCAGGCGAUCCUCCCACCUUGGCCCCUUUAAGUGCUGGGAUUACAGGCAUGAGCCACCAUACUCGGCUUCAACCUUACUCUUGUACUUUCCGUAUGGAAGGAAAAUUAUCAUUAUCAUGCCUACCUAAAUAAUUCAGUCUUAGCCAGUUUAAAAGGGAAGCCAGAGGAAAUAUAACCUUACUCUCACAUGAUAAAAUUAAGCAGUAAUAGGACAAUUUUUUUUUUUUCUCCUGAGAUGGGGUCUUACUCUGUCACCUAGGCUGGGGUGCAGUAGUGUGAUCUCGGCUCACUACAACCUCUGCUGCCUGGGUUCAA